CAACCCUUAAGCCUAGCUUAGUAUUGGGAGACUGCUUAACCGCAGCUCCUUAAAGUCAGUGGCAGAGUCUAGGUGUGCUCUGAGCGUAGUAAUUUUUUAUCUCGCUUCUGCAAGCCGCCUAUGCGAUAGCCAUAAGCCUAUUUAUUUUAACU
rnacentral:misc_RNA from 1 species